GUGCUCGCUUCAGCAGCACAUAUACUAAAAUUGCAACGAUACAGAGAAGAUUAGCGUGGCCCUGCGCAAGGAUGACAUGCAAAUUCGUGAAGCGUUCCCUUUUUUU
ensembl:snRNA U6 U6 spliceosomal RNA